UUAUAUGAGGCCUAUAGCCUUUUUGUUCUGGCCAAUUUUUCCCAUUUGGAAUAAGAGCAUUUACCCAAUGUCAGUACCCCCAUUUUAUCUUGAAAGCAAUUAACUUGCUUUUGAUUUUAAGGCUCAUAGGAAGAAGGGACUUGCCUUGUCUCAGAUAAGACUUUAGACUUGGACUUUCAGAUUAAUGCUGGGAUGAAUUAAGACUUAGAGAGACUGCUGGGAAGGCAUACUUGGUUUUGAAAUGUGAAAGGGACCUGGUUUGAAUUAUAU